CCUUCCUUUACUGAAUGGAGAGAUAUUUAUUUAUUUAUUUAUUUUGGUCCUUUACACGUCACACAUAGUUUCGAUAAAAACAACUCCUUCUGUGUUACUUUGUUCCGAUUUUUUUGUCUGGUUUCCUGUAUUUUAUUAAUAUGCCUCUGUUGCUAAGGCGACCUGUCACCCUCUGAUCUAGUUCUCUCUCACAGCUGGCCUUGCUUUAUACAGGCCUUUAUUAUUAAAAUACAUAAAACAAUAUAAUCAAACAAUAAGCACUAAGAAUAUAUAUUUAUUAUGUAACAUUUCCCAUUGAUUGAUUAAGAAUAAAGAUUAUUUACUAUAAGCACAAGCACAUAUAUUAACUCUGUUAUAGCACUUUAUCAUUUCAAAAUAAAAGCCUGGCUCUUUAGUCCUUUUACCCUCUUUCAGAUGUAAUGAUAAUAAGCCGGAGGGGACUUUAAUUUCUCUCUGUUCCAACUCUCUCAAUAGUAAGGAGAGAGGGAGAAGGGAAGACAUGCAUCACAGGGCUGUAGGUCAGACUUGAACCCAGGUCAAUGCUUUCUAUUAUAUGUCGAGUAAAUACAGCAUGGAAAAAAAAUUAUUAGAUAUUUUUUCUUUAAAUUAUUGUCUAAUAACUGCAUGUUGUAUUUGAGCAAACUACACAUUUUCAUGUUAUCAAAACAUUAGGAUCCUUCUGUUCUGCAUCCUCUUCAUGAACUAUGGGGCAGCGGUCCCCAACCUCUGGGCCACGGACUGGUACCGGUCCGUGAGUCAUUUGGUACCGGGCCGUGAGACUUGAGGCUCCGGGGUGAAAUUUAUGGUUUUCAGGGUUUAUAUCGUUAACUCUGUUUCCCUGGGUCUUUUCUCGUGUUGUAGUUGUGUGUCUUAUUUUGAAAGAAAUAUUUACGCAUUACCAUAGCGACCAGAGAGCAUUAAGGGGCAGAGAGGAGGAUGUUACUCACAAUGUUGUUGGCGCAAUUCAGGAGGCUAAUAAAGUUACACAAUUACGCAGUGAAUUCGUGUUUAUUACUAUAUUUAAAAAAUGCACUGGUUUUUGUCUUGGUCGUAUCAUUAUAUUUUGUUGUAUUUAUCUGCCACAUCUUAAAGGCCGGUCCGUGGAAAUACUGUCUGACAUUAAACCUGUCCGUGGCGCAAAAAUGUUUGGGGACCGCUGCUAUAGGAUAUAUACUGUAUAAUAUGAGUGAAAAGUAAUGAAAGUUGGCACCCAUGUAGAGAAGGUAACCCAAAGGAGUGUUCAACUGACAGUUUCAUGUGGACAAUCACAGAUUUUUUUUAAAAAUAAAUGUUUAACAUGAGUUUAUCACAUUCCUUUAAAGUUGUUAAAUUUGAGCAGACUUGGCCUUUAAUUUCUCAGGAGUAUGAACGCAGUUUGGGAUGAAACUGAGCCCAGGUGUAGAGCAGGUGGAGCAGAGGAAGAAUGUGUUCAAAGUUUCACGUCAACUAUCAGGGAUGAUUUUUAAUGACUUUUUGAAUAUGACGCAAUCAGGCUGCUGGUAUGUGUGCGCGCGCCCGUAUGUUUGAUACGUGUGCGCUCGUCCAUGUUUGGGAUCAGCGCAGGAGAAAAGGCGCUGCCGUAAAGCGGAGUGUAGAAGCGCAAGAAAACGAGAGGCGGCUGUCUCCACCGCGGCUCACAAUGACGGCUCACUGUGCCGCGGUCCCGUGAAGGCUGAAGAGACGAUGAUUAUUUAAUUUCUUACGCUGAUUAGUGCUGGCACGGAAACUGGAACUAGUGUUGUAGUUUGUGUUUAUCCCGGACUCUGUAGGUGCUGCACACUCGAUCUCUCAGCCCGCGGGUUUCGGAACAAUAAGAAAGGAGAAAGAAGAGCACGAGCGCGCAUAGUUAAAGCAGACUAACGUGGAAACAGGUGAAGAGACGAAGGUGAGCGGUACGGUUUGGUGACGUCACAGUAAAAUCCGCACAGAGACAGACUUCAUCCUUUUACUUUAACUGUACAUGAAAAAUGAAGCUGAGACAGGAGCUCAGUGUCACAGCUGGAACAACAUCAGCUGACAUUAAAGAAAAGCAGAUGUUUGUUCCCUGACAACAAAGAUGGAGAGCGUGAGGGAACUACAGAGAGGAGGAGGACACAGUGGACCAGCCCUCAGACCUACAUCAUUAGGAGGGAGGACGACCCCCCAGUCUGAGGACGAUCCACCACAUGAAUGGGGGACAGGAGGCGCAGCUUCCAGCCCAGCUGUUUCCCAGCAUGCCUCAGCUGUGGAGCUGUCUGAGGGAGAGUCGUCUGUCCUGCUGCCCUAGAAAAUGCAUCUUUAUAAACCACGUGAGAAUAUUCAGUCUGCUCAUUGUGGGAGCAACAACAGGAAGAAGGUGCUGUGGACUUUUGGAGAAAACAGAAAGUUGAUGUCACAGCUUGUUGCUAACCCGAUCAAUCAGCGAAGAAGACGCAUUACCGUAAACAUCUGUGUAGAAGCGCAAGAAAAUCCAGCUGAGGAGCAGCUUCCGUCACCUGACCACACGUCCCGACAUCAUUAGGAGGGAGGACGACCCCCCAGUCUGAGGACGAUCCACCACAUGAAUGGGGGACAGGAGGCGCAGCUUCCAGCCCAGCUGGACCCAACAAUGUUGGUGCAGCUCCGGACCUGCAGCCGUCUGUCUGAAGGCCUGAAACUCCUCCCACGCUGAUCACAGACAUCAUUAGGAGUGAGGACGACCCCCCAGUCUGAGGACGAUCCACCACAUGAAUGGGGGACAGGAGGCGCAGCUUCCAGCCCAGCUGUUUCCCAGCAUGCCUCAGCUGUGGAGCUGUCUGAGGGAGAGUCGUCUGUCCUGCUGCCCUAACGGUUUCCAUCCUGGGCCACAGCCCUCAUCGUUUUCCUGGUUCUUCUUGGGGUUUCUGGAGGUAUUUUAUUUUAUUUCCGGCAGUAUUUCAUGUCAGGUGAGUGUCUCCUACUACACUACCCAUAAUGCCGAU